rnacentral:rRNA from 1 species
CACGCCCUAAACGAUGGAUACUCGACAUACGCGAUACACAGUGUGUGUCUGAGCGAAAGCAUUAAGUAUCCCACCUGGGAAGUACNUACGCGAGGAACCUUACCUGGGCUAGAAUGCAUUUUGACCGCUCCUGAAAGGGAGUUUUAUAGCAAUAUACGGAAUGUAAGGUGC